CCUGGAUAUCACUCCUGGAUGCUGGGGCAUUAUCCUCCAUUACCCGUGGGGGAGCUGCCUGACAUGGAGUGAGUGGGCUAUCAGGUGGUUCUCCUUCCUCUGAGGGCAGUGGAGAGGAGUCCCGAUGGGACGUGGUCUGCGCUGCACUUGGGGCCUGCAACAUCUGGCCUAUGUCGCGCUGGGGCCUUGGGGUAUGUGUGGGUGGUUUCUGAGACUUGCGCCCCAUCUCACCUGUGUGUGGCAGGCUGUGGUACCAGUCUUCUAGAGCAGGUGAGCCCCAGGGCCAGAUUCCCUCCUCUGAGUCUCUCUGCCGUCCGC